rnacentral:rRNA from 1 species
AGUGAACGCUGGCGGUAGGCCUAACACAUGCAAGUCGAACGGCAGCACAGUAAGAGCUUGCUCUUACGGGUGGCGAGUGGCGGACGGGUGAGGAAUACAUCGGAAUCUACUUUUUCGUGGGGGAUAACGUAGGGAAACUUACGCUAAUACCGCAUACGACCUACGGGUGAAAGCAGGGGAUCUUCGGACCUUGCGCGAUUGAAUGAGCCGAUGUCGGAUUAGCUAGUUGGCGGGGUAAAGGCCCACCAAGGCGACGAUCCGUAGCUGGUCUGAGAGGAUGAUACGCCACACUGGAACUGAGACACGGUCCAGACUCCUACGGGGGGCAGCAGUGGGGAAUAUUGGACAAUGGGCGCAAGCCUGAUCCAGCCAUACCGCGUGGGUGAAGAAGGCCUUCGGGUUGUAAAGCCCUUUUGUUGGGAAAGAAAAGCAGCAGGUUAAUACCCCGCUGUUCUGACGGUACCCAAAGAAUAAGCACCGGCUAACUUCGUG